rnacentral:rRNA from 1 species
AUUGAACGCUGGCGGCAGGCUUAACACAUGCAAGUCGAGCGGGGGAGGUUGCUUCGGUAACUGACCUAGCGGCGGACGGGUGAGUAAUGCUUAGGAAUCUGCCUAUUAGUGGGGGACAACAUUCCGAAAGGGAUGCUAAUACCGCAUACGCCCUACGGGGGAAAGCAGGGGAUCUUCGGACCUUGCGCUAAUAGAUGAGCCUAAGUCGGAUUAGCUAGUUGGUGGGGUAAAGGCCUACCAAGGCGACGAUCUGUAGCGGGUCUGAGAGGAUGAUCCGCGAAGCUGGGAAUGAGACACGGCCCAAACUCCUACGGGAGGCAGCAGUGGGGAAUAUUGGACAAUGGGCGGAAGCCUGAUCUAGCCAUGCCGCGUGUGUGAAGAAGGCCUUUUGGUUGUAAAGCACUUUAAGCGAGGAGGAGGCUCUUAAGGUUAAUACCCUUGAUGAGUGGACGUUACUCGCAGAAUAAGCACCGGCUAACUCUGUGCCAGCCGCCGCGGUAA